rnacentral:rRNA from 1 species
UCUGGUAAUGAUGGCAGAGAGGUCACACCCGUUCCCAUACCGAACACGGAAGUUAAGCUCUCAGCUCAGCUGGGAGAGCACCUGCCUUACAAGCA